rnacentral:rRNA from 1 species
GGGGAUCGAAAGUCCUUGCGCUAAAGGAGCGGCCGAUGUCUGAUUAGCUAGUUGGUAAGGUAAAGGCUUACCAAGGCGGCGAUCAGUAGCUGGUCUGAGAGGACGAUCAGCCACACUGGGACUGAGACACGGCCCAGACUCCUACGGGAGGCAGCAGUGGGGAAUUUUGGACAAUGGGCGGAAGCCUGAUCCAGCAAUGCCGCGUGAGUGAAGAAGGCCUUCGGGUUGUAAAGCUCUUUCAGUCGAGAAGAAAAGGCUAUGCCGAAUAAGUAUAGUUAAUGACGGUAUCGAAAGAAGAAGCACCGGCUAACUACGUGCCAGCAGCCGCGGUAAUACGUAGGGUGCAAGCGUUAAUCGGAAUUACUGGGCGUAAAGGGUGCGCAGGCGGUACUGUAAGUCAGAUGUGAAAUCCCCGGGCUUAACCUGCGAAUUGCGUUUGAAA